rnacentral:rRNA from 1 species
GACGGGGGCCCGCACAAGCGGAGGAACAUGUGGUUUAAUUCGAUGAUACGCGAGGAACCUUACCCGGGCUUGAACUGCAGGGGAACGAUAGAGAGAUCUUGAGGUCAGCAAUGACCCCUGUGGAGGUGCUGCAUGGUUGUCGUCAGCUCGUGCCGUGAGGUGUCGGCUUAAGUGCCAUAACGAGCGCAACCCUUGUCUGUAGUUGCCAUCAGGUGAUGCUGGGCACUCUGCGGAUACUGCCACCGUAAGGUGUGAGGAAGGUGGGGAUGACGUCAAAUCAGCACGGCCCUUACGUCCGGGGCUACACACGUGUUACAAUGGGGUGUACAGAGAGUCGGUGCAUGGCAAUAUGCAUCCAAUCCUUAAAGCACUCCUCAGUUCGGAUUGGGGUCUGCAACCCGACCCCAUGAAGCUGGAUUCGCUAGUAAUCGCGCAUCAGCCAUGGCGCGGUGAAUACGUUCCCGGGCCUUGCACACACCGCCCGUCAAGCCAUGAAAGCCGGGGGCGCUUGAAGUCCGUGGGAAGCGAGGGUCGGCCUAUUUUUAAACCGGUGAAUGGGCUAAGUCGUAACAAGGUGCCGUCCGAG